rnacentral:rRNA from 1 species
UGAGGAAUAUUGGUCAAUGGGCGCGAGCCUGAACCAGCCAAGCAGCGUGAAGGAUGAAGGUCCUAUGGAUUGUAAACUUCUUUUAUAGCAGAAUAAAGUGACCCACGUGUGGGUUUUUGUAUGUAUGCUAUGAAUAAGGAUCGGCUAACUCCGUGCCAGCAGCCGCGGUAAUACGGAGGAUCCGAGCGUUAUCCGGAUUUAUUGGGUUUAAAGGGUGCGUAGGCGGAAAGAUAAGUCAGCCUGUGAAAGUUUGCGGCUCAACCGUAAAAUUGCAGUUGAUACUGUUUUUCUUGAGUGUACAUAAGGUAGGCGGAAUUCGUGGUGUAGCGGUGAAAUGCUUAGAUAUCACGAAGAACUCCGAUUGCGAAGGCAGCUUACCGGGGUACAACUGACGCUGAUGCACGAAAGUGUGGGUAUCAAACA